UCUGGUAUGUGAUGAUUGUUUUACAAUGGGAAUCUCUCUGAAAUAAGAAAUAUGGAGAUAUGUAAUUUCUGAUACUGGA
rnacentral:snoRNA from 1 species